rnacentral:rRNA from 1 species
GGAUUGCCCUAGUAACGGCGAGUGAAGCGGCAACAGCUCAAAUUUGAAAUCUGGCUCUUUUAGAGUCCGAGUUGUAAUUUGCAGAGGGCGCUUUGGCUUUGGCAGCGGUCCAAGUUCCUUGGAACAGGACGUCACAGAGGGUGAGAAUCCCGUACGUGGUCGCUGGCUAUUGCCGUGUAAAGCCCCUUUCGACGAGUCGAGUUGUUUGGGAAUGCAGCUCUAAAUGGGAGGUACAUUUCUUCUAAAGCUAAAUAUUGGCCAGAGACCGAUAGCGCACAAGUAGAGUGAUCGAAAGAUGAAAAGCACUUUGGAAAGAGAGUCAAACAGCACGUGAAAUUGUUGAAAGGGAAGCGCUUGCAGCCAGACUUGCUUACAGUUGCUCAUCCGGGUUUUUACCCGGUGCACUCUUCUGUAGGCAGGCCAGCAUCAGUUUGGGCGGUAGGAUAAAGGUCUCUGUCACGUACCUCCUUUCGGGGAGGCCUUAUAGGGGAGACGACAUACUACCAGCCUGGACUGAGGUCCGCGCAUCUGCUAGGAUGCUGGCGUAAUGGCUGUAAGCGGCCCGUCUUGAAACACGGACCAAGGAGUCUAACAUCUAUGCGAGUGUUUGGGUGUCAAGCCCGAGCGCGUAAUGAAAGUGAACGGAGGUGGGAACCCGCAAGGGUGCACCAUCGACCGAUCCUGAUGUCUUCGGAAGGAUUUGAGUAAGAGCAUGGCUGUUGGGACCCGAAAGAUGGUGAACUAUGCUUGAAUAGGGUGAAGCCAGAGGAAACUCUGGUGGAGGCUCGCAGCGGUUCUGACGUGCAAAUCGAUCGUCAAAUUUGGGCAUAGGGGCGAAAGACUAAUCGAACUAUCUAGUAGCUGGUUCCUGCCGAAGUUUCCCUCAGGAUAGCAGUAACGUAUUCAGUUUUAUGAGGUAAAGCGAAUGAUUAGAGGCCUGGGGGUUGAAACAACCUUCACCUAUUCUCAAACUUUAAAUAUGUAAGAAGUCCUUGUUACUUAAUGA